UAAAUAUAGGCUCCUAUAGUUUAGAAAAAAUAUUUCUUUUUAUCGUGUUUCACAACAUUACAGGAUUUUCCAGCAAAAACAAAAAAUCUCAUAGAUUUGUAUACCCCAGUUAAAUUUUUCACUCACAAAAUAGUAAGUUCUUUAUUACAAAAAAAGCAGAAGAUUGAAGCAUCUUGAAUCAAGAAUGAAACAUGUACCAACUAUAUAAAUCGAAGGGGCAAAUCUUUUGAAAAGAAAUUCGAACAUUACAAUUAAAAGAUCGAAAUUGCAUUUACCUGAGCCAAUGAAUAAAUUGAUUUUCGAAACUUAGCGAACGUUGCAACCCUAUCUUGAAGAAAACAAGAUUCCGUCAACGAAACAAACCGCGCUGCAAUAUUCGAAGAGAAACGCAAAUUUGUGAAGAAUUUGAAGAUGCCACACAAGAUGAUUUAGGGUUUGAAGAUGAUCGAGAGAUACUCAAAUCUUGAUUUUUAGGGUUUCACUUCAGAACGCGUCUUUACUUUAACCUUUUCUUUUCCAAAAAUUGUAAUUUUGGUAGCUCUAAGAAGCAACACGGAAUGAAUUUUUAGGGUCUACUACUGUGCUA
rnacentral:lncRNA from 1 species